AUUGAACGCUAGCGGGAGGCUUUACACAUGCAAGUCGAACGAGUGGCGGACGGGUGAGUAAUGUAUGGGAACCUGCCUGGUGGCGGGGGAUAACUACUGGAAACGGUGGCUAAUACCGCAUACCAUCAGAUGUGCCCAGAUGGGAUUAGCUAGUUGGUGGGGUAACGGCUCACCAAGGCAACGAUCCGUAGCUGGUCUGAGAGGAUGACCAGCCACACUGGGACUGAGACACGGCCCAGACUCCUACGGGAGGCAGCAGUGGGGAAUUUUGGACAAUGGGGGAAACCCUGAUCCAGCCAUGCCGCGUGUAUGAUGAAGGCCUUCGGGUUGUAAAGUACUUUUGGCGGAGAAGCGUUAUCUGCAGAAGAAGCACCGGCUAACUACGUGCCAGCAGCCGCGGUAAUUC
rnacentral:rRNA from 1 species